AUACGGAGGGUGCAAGCGUUAAUCGGAAUUACUGGGCGUAAAGCGUACGUAGGCGGUUAUUUAAGUCAGAUGUGAAAGCCCCGGGCUUAACUUGGGAACUGCAUUUGAAACUGGGUAACUAGAGUUUAGUAGAGGGGAGUGGAAUUUCAGGUGUAGCGGUGAAAUGCGUAGAGAUCUGAAGGAACACCAGUGGCGAAGGCGACUCCCUGGACUAGAACUGACGCUCAGGUACGAAAGCGUGGGUAGCAAACAGGAUUAGAUACCCCAGUAGUCC
rnacentral:rRNA from 1 species